AGAGUUUGAUCCUGGCUCAGAGUGAACGCUGGCGGUAGGCCUAACACAUGCAAGUCGAACGGCAGCACAGGAGAGCUUGCUCUCUGGGUGGCGAGUGGCGGACGGGUGAGGAAUACAUCGGAAUCUACUUUUUCGUGGGGGAUAACGUAGGGAAACUUACGCUAAUACCGCAUACGACCUACGGGUGAAAGCAGGGGAUCUUCGGACCUUGCGCGAUUGAAUGAGCCGAUGUCGGAUUAGCUAGUUGGCGGGGUAAAGGCCCACCAAGGCGACGAUCCGUAGCUGGUCUGAGAGGAUGAUCAGCCACACUGGAGCUGAGACACGGUCCAGACUCCUACGGGAGGCAGCAGUGGGGAAUAUUGGACAAUGGGCGCAAGCCUGAUCCAGCCAUACCGCGUGGGUGAAGAAGGCCUUCGGGUUGUAAAGCCCUUUUGUUGGGAAAGAAAUCCAGCUGGCUAAUACCCGGUUGGGAUGACGGUACCCAAAGAAUAAGCACCGGCUAACUUCGUGCCAGCAGCCGCGGUAAUACGAAGGGUGCAAGCGUUACUCGGAAUUACUGGGCGUAAAGCGUGCGUAGGUGGUCGUUUAAGUCCGUUGUGAAAGCCCUGGGCUCAACCUGGGAACUGCAGUGGAUACUGGGCGACUAGAGUGUGGUAGAGGGUAGCGGAAUUCCUGGUGUAGCAGUGAAAUGCGUAGAGAUCAGGAGGAACAUCCAUGGCGAAGGCAGCUACCUGGACCAACACUGACACUGAGGCACGAAAGCGUGGGGAGCAAACAGGAUUAGAUACCCUGGUAGUCC
rnacentral:rRNA from 1 species